AGAGCGAACGCUGGCGGCAGGCUUAACACAUGCAAGUCGAACGGACUCUUCGGAGUUAGUGGCGGACGGGUGAGUAACACGUGGGAACGUGCCUUUAGGUUCGGAACAACACAGGGAAACUUGUGCUAAUACCGGAUAAGCCUUUCGAGGGAAAGAUUUAUCGCCUUUAGAGCGGCCCGCGUCUGAUUAGCUAGUUGGUGAGGUAAAGGCUCACCAAGGCUACGAUCAGUAGCUGGUCUGAGAGGAUGGCCAGCCACAUUGGGACUGAGACACGGCCCAAACUCCUACGGGAGGCAGCAGUGGGGAAUCUUGCGCAAUGGGCGAAAGCCUGACGCAGCCAUGCCGCGUGGAUGAUGAAGGUCUUAGGAUUGUAAAAUCCUUUCAGUCGGGGACGAUAAUGACGGUACCCGCAGAAGAAGCCCGGCUAACUUCGCGCCAGCAGCCGC
rnacentral:rRNA from 1 species